GGUUAAGCGACUAAGCGUACACGGUGGAUGCCCUGGCAGUCAGAGGCGAUGAAGGGCGUGCUAAUCUGCGAUAAGCGCCGGUAAGGUGAUAUGAACCGUUAUAACCGGCGAUACCCGAAUGGGGAAACCCAGUGUGACUCGUCACACUAUCAUUAACUGAAUCCAUAGGUUAAUGAGGCGAACCGGGGGAACUGAAACAUCUAAGUACCCCGAGGAAAAGAAAUCAACCGAGAUUCCCCCAGUAGCGGCGAGCGAACGGGGAGGAGCCCAGAGCCUGAAUCAGCAUGUGUGUUAGUGGAAGCGUCUGGAAAGGCGCGCGAUACAGGGUGACAGCCCCGUACACAAAAGCGCAUGUGCUGUGAGCUCGAUGAGUAGGGCGGGACACGUGGUAUCCUGUCUGAAUAUGGGGGGACCAUCCUCCAAGGCUAAAUACUCCUGACUGACCGAUAGUGAACCAGUACCGUGAGGGAAAGGCGAAAAGAACCCCGGCGAGGGGAGUGAAAAAGAACCUGAAACCGUGUACGUACAAGCAGUGGGAGCCCCACCACUAAGCCAGUGGUGAACUCCACAUACGCAUCCUUUGCUGAGGAUACGGUUAACGGAGCGAAAGCGACGUUCAACCUCAAAAGAAGCAGAGGGGGCUUAGUGGUGGGGUGACUGCGUACCUUUUGUAUAAUGGGUCAGCGACUUAUAUUCUGUAGCAAGGUUAACCGAAUAGGGGAGCCGGAGGGAAACCGAGUCUUAACCGGGCGUUAAGUUGCAGGGUAUAGACCCGAAACCCGGUGAUCUAGCCAUGGGCAGGUUGAAGGUUGGGUAACACUAACUGGAGGACCGAACCGACUAAUGUUGAAAAAUUAGCGGAUGACCUGUGGCUGGGGGUGAAAGGCCAAUCAAACCGGGAGAUAGCUGGUUCUCCCCGAAAGCUAUUUAGGUAGCGCCUCGUGAAUUCAUCUCCGGGGGUAGAGCACUGUUUCGGCUAGGGGGCCAUCCCGGCUUACCAACCCGAUGCAAACUGCGAAUACCGGAGAAUGUUAUCACGGGAGACACACGGCGGGUGCUAACGUCCGUCGUGAAGAGGGAAACAACCCAGACCGCCAGCUAAGGUCCCAAAGUCAUGGUUAAGUGGGAAACGAUGUGGGAAGGCCCAGACAGCCAGGAUGUUGGCUUAGAAGCAGCCAUCAUUUAAAGAAAGCGUAAUAGCUCACUGGUCGAGUCGGCCUGCGCGGAAGAUGUAACGGGGCUAAACCAUGCACCGAAGCUGCGGCAGCGACACUAUGUGUUGUUGGGUAGGGGAGCGUUCUGUAAGCCUGCGAAGGUGUCUCGUGAGGGAUGCUGGAGGUAUCAGAAGUGCGAAUGCUGACAUAAGUAACGAUAAUGCGGGUGAAAAACCCGCACGCCGGAAGACCAAGGGUUCCUGUCCAACGUUAAUCGGGGCAGGGUGAGUCGACCCCUAAGGCGAGGCCGAAAGGCGUAGUCGAUGGGAAACAGGUUAAUAUUCCUGUACUUGGUGUUACUGCGAAGGGGGGACGGAGAAGGCUAUGUUGGCCGGGCGACGGUUGUCCCGGUUUAAGCGUGUAGGUGUGUGUUCCAGGUAAAUCCGGUUCACUUUAACACUGAGGCGUGAUGACGAGGCACUACGGUGCUGAAGCAACAAAUGCCCUGCUUCCAGGAAAAGCCUCUAAGCAUCAGGUAACAUCAAAUCGUACCCCAAACCGACACAGGUGGUCAGGUAGAGAAUACCAAGGCGCUUGAGAGAACUCGGGUGAAGGAACUAGGCAAAAUGGUGCCGUAACUUCGGGAGAAGGCACGCUGACACGUAGGUGAAGUGAUUUACUCAUGGAGCUGAAGUCAGUCGAAGAUACCAGCUGGCUGCAACUGUUUAUUAAAAACACAGCACUGUGCAAACACGAAAGUGGACGUAUACGGUGUGACGCCUGCCCGGUGCCGGAAGGUUAAUUGAUGGGGUCAGCGCAAGCGAAGCUCCUGAUCGAAGCCCCGGUAAACGGCGGCCGUAACUAUAACGGUCCUAAGGUAGCGAAAUUCCUUGUCGGGUAAGUUCCGACCUGCACGAAUGGCGUAAUGAUGGCCAGGCUGUCUCCACCCGAGACUCAGUGAAAUUGAACUCGCUGUGAAGAUGCAGUGUACCCGCGGCAAGACGGAAAGACCCCGUGAACCUUUACUAUAGCUUGACACUGAACACUGGUCCUUGAUGUGCAGGAUAGGUGGGAGGCUUUGAAGCGCGGACGCCAGUUCGUGUGGAGCCAUCCUUGAAAUACCACCCUUUAAUGGCUGGUGUUCUAACGUAGACCCGUGAUCCGGGUUGCGGACAGUGUCUGGUGGGUAGUUUGACUGGGGCGGUCUCCUCCUAAAGAGUAACGGAGGAGCACGAAGGUUAGCUAAUCCUGGUCGGACAUCAGGAGGUUAGUGCAAAGGCAUAAGCUAGCUUGACUGCGAGCGUGACGGCGCGAGCAGGUGCGAAAGCAGGUCUUAGUGAUCCGGUGGUUCUGAAUGGAAGGGCCAUCGCUCAACGGAUAAAAGGUACUCCGGGGAUAACAGGCUGAUACCGCCCAAGAGUUCAUAUCGACGGCGGUGUUUGGCACCUCGAUGUCGGCUCAUCACAUCCUGGGGCUGAAGUAGGUCCCAAGGGUAUGGCUGUUCGCCAUUUAAAGUGGUACGCGAGCUGGGUUUAGAACGUCGUGAGACAGUUCGGUCCCUAUCUGCCGUGGGCGCUGGAGAACUGAGGGGGGCUGCUCCUAGUACGAGAGGACCGGAGUGGACGCAUCACUGGUGUUCGGGUUGUCAUGCCAAUGGCACUGCCCGGUAGCUAAAUGCGGAAGAGAUAAGUGCUGAAAGCAUCUAAGCACGAAACUUGCCCCGAGAUGAGUUCUCCCUGAGACUUAGAGUCUCCUGAAGGAACGUUGAAGACGACGACGUUGAUAGGCCGGGUGUGUAAGCGCAGCGAUGCGUUGAGCUAACCGGUACUAAUGAACCGUGAGGCUUAACCUU
rnacentral:rRNA from 1 species